rnacentral:rRNA from 1 species
GACAGCGGUCAUAGGAGAGGUGCAACACCCGUUCCCGUCUCGAACACGGAAGUUAAGACCUCUUACGAUCCAGCGAGUACUGCUUUCGUAGCGGGAAAACUGGUUGCUGCUGCCA